rnacentral:tRNA from 1 species
GAGAAGGUGGCUGAGAGGUUUAAAGCAACAAUUUGCUAAAUUGUUAUAUAUGAUUAAUUAAUAUGUAUCAUGGGUUCAAAUCCCAUUCUUCUUA